GGUUCCACAAUGGUACAGGCAGCAUCACGCUGCACAAUGGUUUCCAGGCAGUGAAAGAGGGUGAUUCAGCAAGCCACUCUUCUUCUUCUAUUUUCUUUAACCUCCCCUUCACUUUUUAUUUUUAUGGGGGUGGGUGGUGCUUGCUAUAUGCUUACCUUUUUCUUUUAUUUUUUCAUUUUUACAAAUAUCCUUUUUUGUCCUCACCCCUCAAUUCCUAGGGGCUUGAGUGAGUUUAAGAUUGGGUUUUCUUGGAAAUCACCUGUCCAUCGUUAAUUUUAAACAAUCUCCAUAUCUCCAAAGAAUCUCUUCCAUAUUACAGUCUGGAAUGUGGUUAAUGAAAAACAAGUAGGGAGGAUUUCUGGGGCAAACACUGCCGGAUCAGGAUCGUAGUUCUCAGGCACGGAAUGGCUAGUGUGAGAAACACCAACGUCAGGCCCAUCUCAGAUCUUCACUAUGGCAACUCAUGCAAGAAACUGUUGAAUUAGACCCGUUUCCUAUAGAUGAGAAACCAUACAAGCUGUGGUAUUUAUGAGCCUCCAUUUCUUAUACUACUGCAGUGAACCAACAUUGGAUGUGAAAAUUGCCUUUUGUCAGGGAUUCGAUAAACAAGUGGAUGUGUCAUAUAUUGCCAAACAUUACAACAUGAGCAAAAGCAAAGUUGACAACCAGUUCUACAGUGUGGAAGUGGGAGACUCAACCUUCACAGUUCUCAAGCGCUACCAGAAUCUAAAGCCUAUUGGCUCUGGGGCUCAGGGCAUAGUUUGUGCCGCGUAUGAUGCUGUCCUUGACAGAAAUGUGGCCAUUAAGAAGCUCAGCAGACCCUUUCAGAACCAAACACAUGCCAAGAGAGCGUACCGGGAGCUGGUCCUCAUGAAGUGUGUGAACCAUAAAAACAUUAUUAGUUUAUUAAAUGUCUUCACACCCCAGAAAACGCUGGAGGAGUUCCAAGAUGUUUACUUAGUAAUGGAACUGAUGGAUGCCAACUUAUGUCAAGUGAUUCAGAUGGAAUUAGACCACGAGCGAAUGUCUUACCUGCUGUACCAAAUGUUGUGUGGCAUUAAGCACCUCCAUUCUGCUGGAAUUAUUCACAGGGAUUUAAAACCAAGUAACAUUGUAGUCAAGUCUGAUUGCACAUUGAAAAUCCUGGACUUUGGACUGGCCAGGACAGCAGGCACAAGCUUCAUGAUGACUCCAUAUGUGGUGACACGUUAUUACAGAGCCCCUGAGGUCAUCCUGGGGAUGGGCUACAAGGAGAACGGUAGGGAUGCUUCGGGAGAGCAGCGUCAAAACCAUGAAUAAAACGGGUGCAUGUUGUAGAUAGCUAAGGAGAAUGUUCUCUUUCAUGUACAUGCUUUUAUAAAGUAGGGCUGCCAGAUAGCAUAUUCAGGUUUUUUUUUUUAAUACUACUGGUAAGAAACACAUUAAAAAUGUGAAGGAUGUUAUUGAGAAGUCAGUUUUGCUAGAAGAGCACUAAAUGUUAAUAGUGAAAAAGAAUUGUAAAUGGAGUCUGAUUAAAUAGUCAAGUGGAUGCUGAUUAGCACACGUGCCUAGAUAUUGAGAAAAAUUGCUAUUUGGGUUGCAGCUCAGCUAAGCGUGAGUGUGAAAGCAGGAAGGAAUCUACCACAUUUGGCCAUGUGGCUUUUAUGUCGUAUCUCAGACUGAUGGCUGUAGUUCUAGAAAAAGACAAGCAAAAAAGUGACACAAAUCCUUGGAGUGAAAAUCUUCACAGACAACUUUGAAAUAAUCCAAAUUAUUUAAACUGAAUAAGAAUUUCUGAAAUAAUUUAAGCUGCUCUGUAAGAAAUAUUUAGAGUAGCAAUUGCCUAAUAAAU
rnacentral:sRNA from 1 species